AAAAAGGGGAGCUUGCACGGAGCUUGCUGAGAGUGGACUGAAUCGUCCAGACCCUGAACCUGAUUUGGAUAAUGCCAACGUAGGGAGAUAUC
rnacentral:ncRNA from 1 species